rnacentral:misc_RNA from 1 species
GAUGAAGAACGCAGCGAAAUGCGAUAAGUAAUGUGAAUUGCAGAAUUGAGUGAAUCAUCGAAUCUUUGAACGCACCUUGCGCUCUUUGGUAUUCCGAAGAGCAUGCCUGUUUGAGUGUCAUGAAAAUAUCAACCUUGACUUGGGUUUUGUGCUCUAGUCUCGGCUUGGAAUUGGGUGCUUGCCGCUUUUACGAGCGGCUCACCUUAAAUGUAUUAGCUGGAUCUGUCUUUGAGACUUGGUUUGACUUGGCGUAAUAAGUAUUUCGCUAAGGACAUUCUUCGGAGUGGCCUCGUUUCUAGGACGCUUGUCCGCUUUCCAAUACAAGUUCCACCUCGUGGACAUGACUUUUUAUUAUCUGGCCUCAAAUCAGGUAGGACUACCCGCUGAACUUAAGCAUAUCAAUAAGCGGAGGA